ensembl:lncRNA
CUUCGUGCUCCCACAAGCAAUCAAGGGGGAAGCAGACGUGUUAGCUGCUCAGGUAGGGCAACUGGUUAGGGCAUGUAGGGUUGUAUUGUUAUACUCAUUCAGGGUGGGGAGAGAAGCAGAAGAGUCAAAGCAAGAAUAUCUCAUGGAUCUUGAUAAAGACAGUUCAGUAAAUGAAGGGAAAAAAAAAAAAGAGGAAAAAGGAAAAACCACAAGUCAUGCACCAGCAGACCAACGGCCAUCCAGGUACCAAGUAAGGACUACCUUGGGAAGACUGUCUCCAGAUUUUUAUGUUGAGCAUGUAACUGCAUGGCUUGGAAUAUCCCUUUGGUUCUAUCUGUGUCCCCUCCCAGCCUCGUGCCCAUCUCUACCCUUCCGGAGCACUUCUACUUUUCUGCCCAGUCAAGAGGUGCCAUCAACCAACAAGAGUAUAAUACUUUGUAAGAAAAGGAAACCUGGUGUUUCUGAAGGUCCUGCAAACUGGUUAUUUCCUAUAGAGCCCGGAUUUCAUCUGGAAGGUUGUGGAAGAGGCAGCACUGUUGUAAAAACACAGUGCUUCAGUGCUCCAGGGAACCCAUUGCGGUGCAAGACAGAUGUGAAAAUUGCAACAUCAUGUUAAAGCAAUUCAAGGUGUCAACAAAUGAGUUCCCAUCAGGAAAGCUGCUUUGAGGAUGCACCAGGCUUAUAUUCCAGGUCGUGGUUCAGCUUGUGUUCAAUGAACAGCAAAGCUUGUGGUGAAGGGCUAGGCUCUGAUCCUCUUACUUCACUCAGAGACUUACAAGGACAGAAGCUCCCACUGAAUCGUUUUGAACAACCUUCCUUCUCUAUUAAGUAGAGGAAGUGAAGGAGCAGCUGAAACUUGACCUUGUUUAGAAGAACUCUAAUUAUUUGCAUCCUUCUUAUGGACUGCUGCUGCCAUCAGUUUUCUCUCAUGUUGCAGUUGUGAGUCAUGCUGGCUUUUCCUAAUAUGUGUUCAUCUGGGCAAGUAUUGGCUGUCAUGUUCCAUGAGUACACUCGCUUGAUCAAAGAUCAGAAUUUCUUUCAGCUGUGUUUAUUUCUCUCUUUGACUGCACUUUGUCUCCAUCCAUCCGUCCACCAUAGUCCCAGCAAACAUGACCUAGUGGUUGCUUUUUCUUGAGGCUAACACAGUCUGAAAACAGAGCUACUUUCAAUUUUGUGUGAGGCUAGACCUCUGAAGAAUCUUCUCUUCCUCAUAUCUUUUCAGCAAGACUUUUUGGGAUGUUUCAAGGGAUGAAUCUCAGUUGUGUUAAUCUAUUCCAAAACUCUGAGGCCUGGGCUAUGCCAGGAAUGCCUGCACAAAACAGAAUGCCAAAGGCUGUUAUAUCUACCAAGUACAUCCUCUUCUGGACACAGCUAUGCUUUGUGCUGUCAAAAAGUACAGGAGGAAAAUACACCUGAGUAUGGACAUAGACAUGCAGCACAACAUACAUCGUCUUUGUUUAAAAAUAAAAUGAAGUUUUGCUGAAAUAAUCAUAUCAGCAUGUAGGACUGUUGCCAGAGCAGCUCCAUCAGUGAAGGAUCGCACCUCCUUGGAUCCCCAACUAGCAGAGCUGUGCUGGGAGAGAUGCUUGUGCAUCCAUCAUCAGUUGUUGCCUUAUUUUUCUCUUUAAAAGGGUUCUGCUGAAGGGAAGCAGGGAAGAGCGAGAGACCUGGAGUGAAUUCCUCUGCUUCCCCCACAGAAUAGCUCCCAUGGGAGAGGAGAGGUUGAUAAAUGAGAUGUGAAUUUGAGAUACUGGUCCCCUGACAAAAAUGCACCUCGGUUGAAGAGGUGUCAAUCCAGACUGCUUUUGUCUCUUUGGUAUUAUCUCAGGAACAUUAUCCUCAUUACAGCUGGAGAAGAGCCACUUGAGUUUGGCCCUUGGUGGGAGAAGAGAUGCACUGUGUGGUCCCAUCUUUCUACAGCAACCCUGAAGUGAAGCUGCACUUCAAGACUGCAUUGGCUAAAGCUUGCCAGCAGUCAAUUGACUUUCUUCUGUCACCAGCAAAAUCACCCAGUGACACAGUUUCCCACUGAUUAAACUUGCUUGACUUACAGGUUAAUUCUGUAUAUUCUAUUUCAAUGUAUUUAUGGUCACAUAGUCCUAUGCCUCCCUGCUUCUGCCGUGAGUAGCUCACAAUUAGGAACCACGCUUGGGGGAUCAUGGAUGUGGAAUUGAAAG